ACACGAUUCAUAGCCAUUCAACUCGGUUGCAGAGCAACGCCCCUCAAGUAUCAGAGCAACCUGGAGACAAUAGCAAAUAAUCAAAUAUCCAGGCAAGGUGGAUAAGUUCGGACGCGGUACGCCGUCCAGCUCAAAGACAAGGUGAGAUGAGAUACCCAGGUCGGCAUGGUCGGCAUUAGUCCGUCUGAAUUGUCGAGAGAAUGACUGAUCAAGCACCGCUAGUAAAACCGUCAAUGGUUUCGCUAGUCGGAGUAACAAAACUGAAAGGAGCUCGACAUAUCCAACGACCCCGACAUUAGAUUACUCGUUGAGGUCGGAUCCAUGCUCGAGCUUAGAUAUGUGAUCGAGGUCGGACCGCACCACAAAUGAUGAAAAAUAAGUCGAUGGAAGAACUUGAAAUAAAGGUCGAUGGAAAACUGCAGAAGAACACGAGUGAGGAGUUCGGACUACACCAGCUCGGCCAAACACCAAAAUUAUCAAUUUUUCAAGAUUGAAUUUGGUGGGAUCAGAGUAAAGUAACACGCUCAUACAAUCCAUGCAAAAGUGGUCGGCGUGGCUCUUGAUCACUGGGAGGUAAGUACCCAAAUACUUUAUAAAUAUUACAGCAAUGCCAUUAUAAAUGAUUUAUUAAAAUUAGCUUAUGCACGAUCCACAACUACUGCAAGCAAUUAAUUAUUUAUCAUCAUCACCACCAGACAAACCUCAAAAUCAAGAGCCCUUUACACUACCUGCAUUUAUUGUUUUACAGAUUACAGAAUUAUAAAGUGUAAAUAAUACUUACACUAUUCACAAUAUUUUACAUGUUCGAGCAUAGUAUUUUAUAAAUUAAAAACGGAAAUAUAAAGCUAAAGUGUCUGGGGCAACAUAUUAUUUAUUGA
rnacentral:lncRNA from 1 species